rnacentral:rRNA from 1 species
AAGGAAUAUUGGUCAAUGGACGCAAGUCUGAACCAGCCAUGCCGCGUGAAGGAUGAAGGUCCUCUGGAUUGUAAACUUCUUUUAUCUGGGACGAAAACGGGAUUUUUAUCUCAAUUGACGGUACCAGAGGAAUAAGCACCGGCUAACUCCGUGCCAGCAGCCGCGGUAAUACGGAGGGUGCGAGCGUUAUCCGGAUUUACUGGGUUUAAAGGGUGCGUAGGUGGGCUUAUAAGUCAGUGGUGAAAUCUCCGAGCUUAACUUGGAAACUGCCGGUGNUACUAUAGGUCUUGAAUUAUCUGGAGGUAAGCGGAAUAUGUCGUGUAGCGGUGAAAUGCUUAGAUAUGACAUAGAACACCAAGUGCGAAGGCAGCUUACUACAUAUAAAUUGACGCUGAGGCACGAAAGCGUGGGGA